rnacentral:rRNA from 1 species
UACGGAGGGAGCUAGCGUUGUUCGGAAUUACUGGGCGUAAAGAGCUCGUAGGCGGCUUGUUGCGUCGACCGUGAAAACCCGCGGCUUAACUGUGGGCUUGCGGUCGAUACGGGCGGGCUGGAGUUCGGUAGGGGAGACUGGAAUUCCUGGUGUAGCGGUGAAAUGCGCAGAUAUCAGGAGGAACACCGGUGGCGAAGGCGGGUCUCUGGGCCGAUACUGACGCUGAGGAGCGAAAGCGUGGGGAGCGAACAGG